rnacentral:rRNA from 1 species
UACGUAGGGUGCGAGCGUUGCCCGGAUUUAUUGGGCGUAAAGGGCGCGUAGGCGGCCACGCACGUCCGUUGUGAAAUCGCCCGGCUCAACUGGGCGGGGUCAGCGGAUACGGUGUGGCUAGAGCAAGCUAGGGGGCAAUGGAAUUCCCGGUGUAGUGGUGGAAUGCGUAGAUAUCGGGAGGAACACCAGUGGCGAAGGCGGUUGCCUGGAGCUUUGCUGACGCUGAUGCACGAAAGCGUGGGGAGCGAUCCGG